rnacentral:rRNA from 1 species
GUGAGCUGGGUUUAGACCGUCGUGAGACAGGUCGGCUGCUAUCUACUGGGUGUGUUAUGGUGUCUGACAAGAACGACCGUAUAGUACGAGAGGAACUACGGUUGGUGGCCACUGGUGUACCGGUUGUCUGAGAAGGCACGUGCCGGGUAGCCACGCCACACGGGGUAAGAGCUGAACGCAUCUAAGCUCGAAACCCACUUGGAAAAGAGACACCGCCGAGG